UUUUCUUUUCUCUCUUCUUUUCUUAUUAAAAAGAAAGAAAUGUCAGUGUAGUCUGUUGAAUAAUAUACUUGCUCUUUUUUUUUUUUUUUUUUUUUUCAACAUUCUCUCUUUCCCCUUAUUUCAGGUCAGAAGAGGCCAAGUGAUGGAAAUAGUGGAUUAAUGGCAAAAAAGCAAAAGCGUACCCCAAAGCGAACAAGUGCUGCAGCCAAAAAUGAAAAGAAUGGAACAGGACAAAGCAGUGAUAGUGAAGAUCUUCCUGUCCUAGACAAUUCAAGUAAAUGUACCCCAGUAAAGCAUCUUAAUGUAUCUAAGCCACAGAAACUUGCACGAUCUCCUGCAAGAAUAUCCCCGCACAUCAAAGAUGGAGAGAAAGAUAAACACAGAGAAAAACAUCCGAAUUCAUCCCCUAGGACAUAUAAAUGGAGCUUUCAGCUCAAUGAAUUAGAUAAUAUGAACAGUACAGAGAGAAUCUCAUUUCUCCAAGAAAAACUACAGG
rnacentral:lncRNA from 1 species